GAUGAACGCUGGCGGCGUGCCUAACACAUGCAAGUCGAGCGAUUUACUUCGGUAAAGAGCGGCGGACGGGUGAGUAACGCGUGGGUAACCUACCCUGUACACACGGAUAACAUACCGAAAGGUAUGCUAAUACGAGAUAAUAUACUUUUAUCGCAUGGUAGAAGUAUCAAAGCUUUUGCGGUACAGGAUGGACCCGCGUCUGAUUAGCUAGUUGGUAAGGUAACGGCUUACCAAGGCGACGAUCAGUAGCCGACCUGAGAGGGUGAUCGGCCACAUUGGAACUGAGACACGGUCCAAACACCUACGGGAGGCAG
rnacentral:rRNA from 1 species